rnacentral:ncRNA from 20 species
UAAUUAAAAAUAUAUUUAGGUGCUUUUUGUAAAGCUUAAUAGAGGAAGCUGGGUGAAAAUCCCACACAGCGAAAGCUGCUGUAUAGUGGACGAAAUCACAUUAUGUCACUGGGAAACUGGGAAGGCGUGAGAGUAGAGUGAAACUGAGUCAGAAGACUUACCAAAUAGUCAUACAUACAU